UAGGGAAUAUUGCGCAAUGGGCGAAAGCCUGACGCAGCAAUGCCGCGUGAGUGAAGAAGGCCUUUGGGUCGUAAAGCUCUUUCGGCUGGGAAGAAGGGUUACAUGGCUAACAUCCAUGUGAUUUGACGGUACCAGAAGAAGAAGGACCUGCUAACUACGUGCCAGCAGCAGCGGUAAUACGUAGGGUCCAAGCGUUGUUCGGAAUUACUGGGCGUAAAGCGUGCGUAGGCGGGCUUGUAUGUCAAUUGUGAAAUCCCCGGGCUUAACCUGGGAAUGGCAGUUGAAACUGCAGGUCUUGAGUACCCGAGAGGAUGGGAGAAUAGCUGGUGUAGUAGUGAAAUACGUAGAUAUCAGCUGGAAUACCUGAGGCGAAGGCGCCUAUCUGGUGGUGUACUGACGCUGAGGCGCGAAAGCGUGGGGAGCAAACA
rnacentral:rRNA from 1 species